GAUUACUCUUCCCACUUUACAGAUGAGGACAUGGGCCCAGAGAGGUUAUGUGAGUGACACAGCUUGAAGGUGGAGUUGGGCAGUCUGGCUUCAGACUGUCCACAGUCUCAACCACUGCCUCACACGGCUUCUUAGAAAAUAGUAUAAAAAGAAGCUCGGGCCACCAUGUGGAAAAGAAUGGAGAGGGGACAAAGACGCAGCUGGGAGUAUGCUGUGAUGGAGUACAGUGGACAUAUUCAGGAUGAGGAGGCUGCAAGGAUGCCAGCUGGGAGAUGAAUGCAACUCUGCUGCCUGGGCAUGGGCCUGAGUGAGGGUGCAGACCCCUGCCUGUGAUCAUCAGGGAGGAUCCAGAAAGCCCAGGACAUAACAGAGCCGCAGUGCCUGCCCUGAUCCACACGCACACAGACCUAGCCCAGGAACAAGCCCGUCCACGGUGAGGAACAUGCGGCCCAGUGGCUGGAGCCUCUCACCUGAGCCCUUACUGCCUGA